UACGAAGGGGGCUAGCGUUGUUCGGAAUUACUGGGCGUAAAGCGUAUGCAGGCGGAUCGUUAAGUCGGGGGUGAAAUCCCGAGGCUCAACCUCGGAACUGCCUUCGAUACUGGCGAUCUUCGAGUCCGGGAGAGGUGAGUGGAACUCCGAGUGUAGAGGUGAAAUUCGUAGAUAUUCGGAAGAACACCAGUGGCGAAGGCAGCUCACUGGCCCGGUACUGACGCUGAGAUACGAAAGCGUGGGGAGCAAACAGG
rnacentral:rRNA from 1 species